CCUUCGAUAGCUCAGUUGGUAGAGCGGUGGACUGUAGUUGGAAUAAGCUGGUAUCCAUAGGUCACUGGUUCAAAUCCGGUUCGAAGGA
rfam:Operophtera brumata OBRT01_Sc04992, whole genome shotgun sequence.